rnacentral:rRNA from 1 species
AUUGAACGCUGGCGGCAGGCCUAACACAUGCAAGUCGAACGAGUGGCGGACGGGUGAGUAAUGUCUGGGAAACUGCCUGAUGGAGGGGGAUAACUACUGGAAACGGUAGCUAAUACCGCAUACCAUCGGAUGUGCCCAGAUGGGCUUAGCUAGUAGGUGGGGUAAAGGAUCACCUAGGCGACGAUCCCUAGCUGGUCUGAGAGGAUGACAAGCAACAUGGGAACGAGGACACGGUCCAGACUCUGAGGGUAGGCAGCAGUGGGGAAUAUUGAACAAGGGUGGCAGGCCGGAUGAAGCCAUGACGCGUGUAUGAAGAAGGACUUCGGGUUGUAAAGUAAUUUAAGCGGGAAGGCGUUACCCGCAGAGGAAGCACCGGCAAACUCCGUGCCAGCAGCCGCGGUAAUUC